UGAGUUUGAUCCUGGCUCAGGAUGAACGCUGGCGGCGUGCUUAACACAUGCAAGUCGAACGAUGAAGACCGUGCUUGCACGGUUGGAUUAGUGGCGAACGGGUGAGUAUCACGUGAGUAACCUUCCCUUGACUCUGGGAUAAGCCCGGGAAACUGGGUCUAAUACCGGAUACGACCAGUCCUCGCAUGGGGUGCUGGUGGAAAGAUUUAUCGGUCUUGGAUGGACUCGCGGCCUAUCAGCUUGUUGGUGAGGUAAUAGCUCACCAAGGCGAUGACGGGUAGCCGGCCUGAGAGGGUGACCGGCCACACUGGGACUGAGACACGGCCCAGACUCCUACGGGAGGCAGCAGUGGGGAAUAUUGCACAAUGGGCGAAAGCCUGAUGCAGCGACGCCGCGUGCGGGAUGACGGCCUUCGGGUUGUAAACCGCUUUCAGCAGGGAAGAAGCGCAAGUGACGGUACCUGCAGAAGAAGCGCCGGCUAACUACGUGCCAGCAGCCGCGGUAAUACGUAGGGCGCGAGCGUUAUCCGGAAUUAUUGGGCGUAAAGAGCUCGUAGGCGGUUUGUCACGUCUGCUGUGAAAGCCCGGGGCUCAACCCCGGGUGUGCAGUGGGUACGGGCAGACUAGAGUGCAGUAGGGGAGACUGGAAUUCCUGGUGUAGCGGUGAAAUGCGCAGAUAUCAGGAGGAACACCGAUGGCGAAGGCAGGUCUCUGGGCUGUUACUGACGCUGAGGAGCGAAAGCAUGGGGAGCGAACAGGAUUAGAUACCCUGGUAGUCCAUGCCGUAAACGUUGGGCACUAGGUGUGGGGGACAUUCCACGUUUUCCGCGCCGUAGCUAACGCAUUAAGUGCCCCGCCUGGGGAGUACGGCCGCAAGGCUAAAACUCAAAGGAAUUGACGGGGGCCCGCACAAGCGGCGGAGCAUGCGGAUUAAUUCGAUGCAACGCGAAGAACCUUACCAAGGCUUGACAUGGACCGGACCGCUGCAGAGAUGCAGCUUCCCUUCGGGGUCGGUUCACAGGUGGUGCAUGGUUGUCGUCAGCUCGUGUCGUGAGAUGUUGGGUUAAGUCCCGCAACGAGCGCAACCCCUAUCCUAUGUUGCCAGCACGUAAUGGUGGGGACUCAUGGGAGACUGCCGGGGUCAACUCGGAGGAAGGUGGGGACGACGUCAAAUCAUCAUGCCCCUUAUGUCUUGGGCUUCACGCAUGCUACAAUGGCCGGUACAAUGGGUUGCGAUACUGUGAGGUGGAGCUAAUCCCUAAAAGCCGGUCUCAGUUCGGAUCGAAGUCUGCAACUCGACUUCGUGAAGUUGGAGUCGCUAGUAAUCGCAGAUCAGCAACGCUGCGGUGAAUACGUUCCCGGGCCUUGUACACACCGCCCGUCAAGUCACGAAAGUGGGUAACACCCGAAGCCGGUGGCCUAACCCUUGUGGGGGGAGCCGUCGAAGGUGGGACUCGCGAUUGGGACUAAGUCGUAACAAGGUAACCAAUCGG
rnacentral:rRNA from 1 species